AGGCACUACAGGCAUCUAAGAAGGUGGUCUCUCCCUCGUGGUUCCAGGGCUGCCCAGGCGGGGCUGAGGCACAGCAGGCCAGGGCUCUCCAAGUCCCUACAGAUCUGUGACCUUGUUUUCUACAGCCGCUGCGAUCUGCUGGAGCCGAUAGCCCAGCUGCAUCUUCUGGGCCGUGCCAUCUUCCUCCAGGGCAGUGAUGAUCUGAAACACAGAGACCAACUCAGCAGGGGGAGACAGCCAGCCUGCCGUCUGCCUUUGCCACAGACUUCAAUAGGCCUCCACAGCUACCGCAGCAGGUGUGGGUAGGGGCCCGAGAAACCCUGUGAGCCGCCGCACUCACUUCCUCAGGGCCCCCGCAGGGAGGGGAUGAUGACAGCAGAGUCACUGUGGGGUUUUAAGGAUUAGUGAGGACCUAGCACUCACGGUAAUGCAUAUCACCUCCCCGGUAAAAUCGUUUUGAGUGGAGGCCAACUUCACCCACCAUGCUCGUCUUCUCCGCCACAAACCCCCUGGAAGCCCUGCUCCACCCAUCCUGUCUCCCCCGCCCACCAGGCAACAAGCAGUUCCUAAAUUCCUACGUGCCGGGUGCUGGACAAGGAGCAGGGACCCGGCAGUGAUGACAGUCCCAGCUUGAACCUGGCCACCGCUCGUCCCAGGGACAACACAGCUUCCUCUCUGGACUCCAGGCUCCAGUCCAUCCACUGCACGAUUGCCAGGAGGCUCCACCUAACUCUCAGGUCUGACCACCCCCAUCGCCCUCGGGGUGAGCCCUAGCCAAGUGGCCCUGGCCUCCUGCCGCACCGCCAGCACUCUUUGCUCCACUUAACCCUGUGAAUCAGCACACGUGCCCCCUUGCCCUUGCUCAUCCCUGAAGGCUGAGGCACGGCCACCUCCUAGGGAGCCCAGGGACAAAGCCUGGCCCCGGGCCUGGGGUCAAAGGCCUCCCAUAUCCUCGUCCUUGACAUCCUCAAGAAGGCCUGGAGUCUGUGCACGCACAGCACUCUCCAUCCCUGGCCACACUGCCCCACCCCACCCAUGCCCUCCCGGUCCACCCCAACCAGCUCACCCGGCCCAGCUUGUGGUCAGCCAGGGUGCAGGCAUCCAUGAAGGUCUGUGCAAUGACCAGGAACACCGCAUCCAUGUUGUCAGAUGUCUGCACGUCGAACACAAACUGUGGGUUUUUUAUUAUAUUGAUCCAGAACCUCAGCGGCAAGCUGCGGGCGGGGCAGGUGUGGCCAGUGAGUGUGCUGGGGAGACAGGAGAGAAGACCCCACACAUGCUAAGCCCGCCCGCCCCACCCCCACCUGUUGGUCUUCCAUAUAUGGACAGUGUCCUGGUCCGAGAUGCCAUGCUGCUGGGCCUGCUCGUCCAGCAGGUCAAAGAAGUACUUCACAGCGAGCGGCACGGGACGGCUGGUGCUGAGAAUCACCUGGAACAGGUCAUCCACAAACUUCUGCAGGGUGCCCUGCGGAGGAGGGGAAGCACAAGAGAUGCAGUCAGCAAGGGGACCUCAGCCCAGCCCAGCCCAGCCCAGCCUCAGACGCCUUGUGACACCAGGCCUGUGCGAGCCCCACACACCCCCAAAUCCCACUACCUGUCUCGUCCCUGCCCCCAGCCCCACCUUCAUGGACAGCAGGCGGGUCAGGUAGAUCUCAGGGAUGGCCUUGGCUCGCUCCCGCUCCCCGCCCCGGAGGCUGCCCCUCCGAGGCCUGGGCGGCUCCGGCUCCUCGCUUGGCUUCACCAGGUGCCAGGGCCGGAUGCCCCCCUCGUCCACAUCCUCCAGCAUUGGGGUCCCUGUACCAAGACCUUACAGCUUGUUACCCCUCAUCAGGUGCCCCCUGCCCUAGACCCCCGGGGUCCUGCCAAAACCUAGGAGUGGGGGCACCUGGUUAAGGGCUUCUCUGGGUGGAAGGGAAGUAGACACAAGCCCACCCUGAGGUCCAGAGAACCUUCCCCCGUUACUGGAGACUGGGCAAAGCAAGGGUAGAGGACUGCGAUGGCAGGGGCGGGGCAGGGGGGAGGGUAAGUACUCACUCUCUCCAGGGACGUAAUCCUGGCUUUCCCGGAGGACAUGCUUGGUGAGGCAGGGGACGAGGGCCACAGUUGCUCCGUCUGGGACCUGUUGACCACAGUUGGUGACCCCUCCACCAGCCCACCCCACCACAGCCCUCCCCCAACUCCCACCCCUCCCACCUUGUAAUGCUGCAGGGUGUUCAGACGCCUCCACAGACCCUGGACCUCAGAAGUCACGUCCUCGUCGGAAAGAAUGAGAUGCCCGGCCACCCCAGACCGCCAUUCUGCAAGGACAAGGUGGGCUUGGUCCAGGGCUUUCAGAAUACCCUCCCUGCAGUGGAACCUGUCCCCUUUUCUACAGGGACACUGGCCCCUCCAUCAGGGGCAACCUCACCCAACUUCUCUGAAGUCCAGAAACAGGGGCCCCUCACCAGGUGACAGGUCGUCCCUGUAGAGGUGUUCCAGAGCCCACUUCCCCUGGGUGAUAAGCUGACCACCCCGCAGAGCUGGUCUAGGGCCAGCCUAGCCCUGGGGGUCCCCAGACCACCCUUCCCCUCUGCCCUCACCGACGUCCAGGGUGCGGGGGUCUGGCCGCUGGGCAAGAGGCACUCCUUUAUAAAGCUGGUCCAACAUCUUUUCCUUGGCCUGGGAGAUGGUGUCACAGUCCAGGACCUUCACGGGCACGCCCUGGGCUUCUCCCGCUCCAGGCCCCACGGCCAGUAGUGCAUUCAAGGUCUAUGCACGAUACAUGGGAGCAUUCAGGGCUCAUGCCACAUGUGGGAUGACCAAGAUGCAAGGCCAGGGCCAGGGACAACCCAUAAGGAAGCCACUGCCUCUGACCUCCAAGCACCAAACAAUCACUCCUCCUUGUCUCUUCACCCGCCUGCCUCCCCAGGGACAGCAGCUCCCUCCACUCUGUGGCCCCAGCACCUGGCACAGUGCACUAGUGUCUGCUGGGUGAAUGGCAGAAAAAAUGGGAGAGCACAAGUCCCUCUGAACUCUGAUCCUCAGGCUCCUGGCGCAGACAGUUAGGCUGAGGCCCCUGAGGAAGCCCGCAUAAGAAGUGGGGUCUCCACUAGCCAGAGGAGCAGGCCUGGCGGAGCCUGAAUGGGAUUUUCCCAAAGGAACUCCACGUGGCCACGAAGGGGAAAGUUCCCCAGAGGGAAACAAUGGGCAGGUCUGCCAGGGUGACUCCCAGCUUGGUGGGCACAACCAUGCCCCUGGCAAGAUGCUGAGACCAUGAUCAGGCAGACAGUCAGGCCCUGACACAGCAAGGACCCGGACGAGCCCCGGGCAGGGUGGGCUGCUCCCUAGACUCUGGCUGUGGCCACCCUGACCCCACCCCAAACCUGGGGAACCUCUGAGGCCCUAUCUUCAAGGUCUGGCCCUCAAGCCUCUAUCCUGCAGCCAGCCGGAGGUUAGGCUGGCUCAAACCAGAUGCAGACACCCACACAAUCAUACGUGGUCACCCUCCUCACCUUCAUGGGAGACUGACUCACCAGCAGGUUCUCUCUCUCUCCCCCUCUCUCCCUCUCUCUGCCCCCCCUCACCAGGGGACGGUACUCCACGUCCUCUCGGAGCAGGCGGUUGUCAUUCAGGGUGUAUUUGGCUUUGCCAGUCACGCUGUCUACCGGCCCCUUGUCCACUUGAUGCUUAAUUCCACGGAAAAGCAUGUACAGAGGCUCCCCUACCGAGUCCUGGGGGAGCGGCGGGCAGUUAGGACGCCCGGGGCAGGGGACAAGCAUGGGACGGAGGUGCUGGGGAAGGGGACAGGAUGCAGGCCGCAGAAGGCUUAAGGUGACUGAGGACAUGCUGGGCAGGGGUGCCCAAGCUGUGCUGGGGCAAGAAGCUGCGUGGUUCGGAGUCCUGACUCUCCCUGGAGGGGAGCCCCACCCACCUCUGCCUCACUCACCCUCACGAAAGUGUACAGGCAGAUGGACAUCCAGUUGGUGAGCAGCUUCUCCACCACGGUCUCUGUCCUGGGAUGACAGGAAGGAGGGGGCAGAGUCAGCAGGUGGGGACCCAGGGCUUUCUAUUCUUCAGACCCAAGGCCCCAGAGGGCCUGACUCAGGUCUUGGCUCCAGCUGUCCAUGGCUGCCUGGCCCCCGUGGUGUCUGAUGGGCAUACAGACCUGCGCAGCAUCAGUUUGGGGUUCUUGGCCACAUACUGGGCCACCAGGUCACUGAGCAGGGUGCGCAGGAUGUCAGUGAAGUACUCAAGCUUCCCAUGCAGUGCCACGGUGAGCAGAGAUGCCACAUAGGCGCGGUCCCGAGCUGAGAAGGUGCGCUGGCUCUCCAGGGUGUGGAUGAACUGGCGCCAGGGAGAGGGGAUGGGUGGGCGGGGAGGGCAGAUUCAGAAACGGAGGGACUGAGAAGGGAUGGGGCUGGAGGGUAGGGGGGGCCCCCUCCCCACCCCUGGAGGGCCCAGAUAGGGGGCGGGGCCGGCACCUUGAUGAGGAAGAGCUUGCUGUUAAGCAGGUUGGAGAGCUGCCCCAGCCCUUGUUCCACAGUGGGUCGCCUGCUCUCAGGCACGCCCAGGUCCCGGUGCAAGGGCGACUCCUGGUGCCCAGGGAAGAAGACCCUCUCGGCAUACACCUUGUAGUCGAGGAAGGGGAUGCCGCUGCCCAGAAGGUCACUGCGGUCCCGCACGCUGCUCUCCAGAUUCUCCAGCUGGAUCUGCACCUUCUUAUAGUCCCUCAGAGCCUGCUUGCUCUUCCUCCUGCUCAGCACCAAGGUCAGGGCAGGGAUGGCCAGAGGAGGCCCGAGCCCUUGCUGGGUCCCACCGGGCCCAGGCCUGCCCAGGCCAGCACAGUCUAACCCCGCCAUGCCCAGCCAAGCCAGGGCCUAGUCAGAAUAAUUCAGCCUGUCCCAUCCCACGCAAGUCACACCCACCCACGACUUGUCUAGCCCAGCCUAGCCCAGGGAUCAGCAAACUAUAUAUAACACGGCCAAAUCUGGCCCCUGGCCUGUUUUUGUAAAUAAAGAUUUGUU